UACGGAGGGUGCAAGCGUUAAUCGGAAUUACUGGGCGUAAAGCGUGCGCAGGCGGUUUUGUAAGACAGAGGUGAAAUCCCCGGGCUCAACCUGGGAACUGCCUUUGUGACUGCAAGGCUGGAGUGCGGCAGAGGGGGAUGGAAUUCCGCGUGUAGCAGUGAAAUGCGUAGAUAUGCGGAGGAACACCGAUGGCGAAGGCAAUCCCCCUGGGCCUGCACUGACGCUCAUGCACGAAAGCGUGGGGAGCAAACAGG
rnacentral:rRNA from 1 species